rnacentral:lncRNA from 1 species
GUGAGAAAGCGGGGGUGACGUCAGGCUUCCCCAUUGGGCGUGCUUGUGAUCACGUGGCCGGAAGCAGACGCCCACCUGCAGCUCUGUCUCCGCCCCCUGCUGCGGAGUGGUCCACCUGGCUGCGGAGGUUCCGCGCGGACUCCGAGAGGAGCCUCGUUUUUUGAGCUGCGCAGGCGCCGUUGCCUGUUUCUCCUCACGCCGCCCUUUAAUAAGCCUGAAGGAUAUGACCCUCUGAACUGAGUAAUUAGACAUUACACGUUGUACAAGAGAAGUACUAGGGAAGUGAAGGCUUGAAAGGAGGACUGGGGAGCCAGAGGACUCAGCAGCAGGCAAUCCCAGAAGCCAAGCACACACAGCCCACAAGCUGGGACCACCAAGAAUCAGCUAUACCAGCCACAGGUGUACAUGUAUAAAGACAGAAGAGUAACAAUCUGUGGAAGACUGGAUUUUCUUUAUAUACUUCAACCAACACAACAUAGUACAUCAAAUUGAAAGCAGAAACAGAAAUAAGAAUCUAGCUGGCUUCUUUAAGCCAGACAUGAAAAGAUUGGCAAUAAUGCAAAAGAUGACAAUUUUAUCUCUACGUGUUUUUUUUUUUGUUUUCAUUAAAAUAUGUUAUUUAUAUUAACAUGUAAUGGACUUAUUGUUAUUUUUAAAUAAAUAAAUAUUGUUUUACAUUUUGGUUUUAAUUUUUAACAUAGUAAAUAUAUCCCACAUAAACAAAAUAUUUGGAGCAUUCUCAAUUAUAAGUAC